rnacentral:rRNA from 1 species
GACGAACGCUGGCGGCGUGCUUAACACAUGCAAGUCGAACGGAAAGGCCCUUCUUUUGUGCGGUGCUCGAGUGGCGAACGGGUGUGUAACACGUGAGUAUCCUGCUUUUUACUUUGGGAUAACUUCAGGAAUUUGCUGCUACUACCGGAUAGCAUCUCCUGCUGCAUUUUUGGGUUUGGAAUUUUUCGGCGUUUGGUGAUGGACUCGCGGCUUAUCAGCUUGUUGGUGGGGUAGUGGAUUACCAAGGCUUUGAGGGGUAGCAGGCCUGAGAGGGUAACGGGCCACAUUACAACUGAGAUACGACCCAGACUACUACACUAGGCAACAGAGGAGAAUAUUAUACAAUAGAAGGAAGCCUAAUCCAACAACGCCACGUCCGGUAAGACAACCAUCCGGUUGUAAACCAAAUCCGCCUGUAACGAAACGAUAAUGACGGUAACCGGAAAAGAAGCACCGGCUAACUACGUG